UAUUUUUUUCAUUUGACACAUUUUUUUUUGUCACUAAGAAAUAUACAUCUAUUAAUUUAAAGGUUGGAUAAAUUAAAUAAAAAUAUUUUUUCAUCAUAAACUGCUGUGAUCGAGCGAUCCUAACCAGCGCUGAGAAAAGUAAUAGAUACCACGUGACCACGCCUUAUUCUGAAAACAUUUAAAAAAUAAAAUUUACACGAGAAUAAUGAUAUUUAUAGAUCUUAACAGAUCUUAGAAACUAUAUAGUGAAGUGCUAAAACAAAAUUAUUAUUUGGACCCAUUGUAUUUGACCAAGCGAUUACAGACAAGGUAAAGGCAGGUAAGCACCGCCCAUUUUCAGUUUGCACGUUAACGGUACAUUACAGAUUGUUUUGCUAACCGCCACAAUGAAAUUUCGCAUUAUGAUGAGCUCGUUUAUGAAGGAUGCCCAAUUAUUAAUAUAUUGGACCCCACAGCUCCACUUUGACUGUGUGAAGAAUUACAUGCUGGAGCAUCUCGCAUGAUGAAAAAGAUUGAUUGCACAGUGGCAGACUCUCCAGGGACUGUGUGCGAUGGGUCCCCAGAGUAUCCAGAAGCAGAGGCAGAGGAAGGAGCCGCUUCAGGCGUGGAGCUCUUCCAAAUACGCAGACGUUCCAGCCGGAACCUGCAGCUGCCCCCGUUGGUCUUCCGGCAAGCUGAGCAACAUGACUGGAACAGCAAAGAGACUGAGCCGAUUGCCCGUCCAACCACUCUGGCACUGCGCAUCCCCCCGCUCAUCGCCAUCACAUCUGCUGACGCCGGCAGAAGCGCUGCAGAUGUGUGUGAUCUGUUGAAUCCAUCUUACACUAUCCUCGGAUAAACUCUAACUCCAGUGCAUUGCCACUGCGACUUAGCAAUGAUGAGUUCACACGGGCAUUUUACUCGCUGGAUGCAUCAGCAUCAUAUUUGCAGGCCAUAGCCUUCUACUUGAAUUCCUGAUUGGUUGAUAGCAAAUUUUAAAUAUUAAAUGGAAACGAUAAAAUAAUGUUAUUAACCGGUUAAUGGCCAUUUCAAAUUUUUGAUUCUUUUCGGAACUAUAAAAUUAGAUUUCAUUCUCCAAAUGCCUGAAAAAAUGCAUCCAUAAAUAAUAAAUAAUGGGAAACUAAAAUCACCUAGCGACUGUGAGGUCAUUAGUGAGGCUAAGUUUAUAUAGAUUUUAUUUUUAUUUUGACUUACUUUUGUUUUGGUAUUUUAGUGAUUUGCUGUGUGUAAACAAUUUUCUCCAUAAAAUUCAUUAUACUACUAGUUGUUUUGAAUUACUUUAUAUUUAAAUGCAUUAUUCCACAUUAAUUAAUUAAUUAAUUAAUUUAUCAUUCAAGAUUUUUUAUUUUGAAAGAGUGAUUACUCUAUGACUUGUUCAG
rnacentral:lncRNA from 1 species